rnacentral:rRNA from 1 species
UUUUGGAUGUAAAUUUUGUGUGCUUGAGUAGUAUUAGUUAUGUUCUUGAAACUUAAAGAAUUUGGCGGUAUCUCAUUCCGUCCAGAGGAAUCUGUCCCGUUAUCGAUAGUCCGCGUUGGACCUUACUUAGUUGCUUUGGUUUGUAUACCGCCGUUUAUUGAUUAUCUUUUUAGGGUUUUUUAAUUUUCUGGUUUCUUUAUUUUGGUUUAUUUCAGGUCAAGGUGCAGCUUGUUUCUAAGUGGAAUUAGAUGGAUUACAUUGUUAUUGGUUUUGGAUUGUCAUUUUAAAUAUUGGCAUGAAAUUGGAUUUGGUUGUAAUGAUUUGUAGAUUGUUAUUAUGAUAAUGGUUCUGGGAUAUGUACACAUCGCCCGUCGCUCUCGUUUAUUGUUAAUGAGAUAAGUC